GCAGUGGUAGCUCAGAGUUAGAGCGCCGGCCUUGUAAGUCGGAUGCCGAAGGUUAAAGUCCCUCCUGCUGCU
rnacentral:tRNA from 1 species